UGCUGCAUGGCUGUCGUCAGCUCGUGUUGUGAAAUGUUGGUUAAGUCCCGCAACGAGCGCAACCCUUAUCCUUUGUUGCCAGCGAGUAAUGUCGGGAACUCAAAGGAGACUGCCGGUGAUAAACCGGAGGAAGGUGGGAUGACGUCAAGUCAUCAUGGCCCUUACGAGUAGGGCUACACACGUGCUACAAUGGCAUAUACAAAGAGAAGCGAACUCGCGAGAGCAAGCGGACCUCAUAAAGUAUGUCGUAGUCCGGAUUGGAGUCUGCAACUCGACUCCAUGAAGUCGGAAUCGCUAGUAAUCGUAGAUCAGAAUGCUACGGUGAAUACGUUCCCGGGCCUU
rnacentral:rRNA from 1 species